GUAUAGCUUAAUAACUCCUACCCAACAAAACGACGCAUACAGCGUAUUCCAUUAGGUCAUCUUCUUCGCGUUUACCACCUGGUGUUGCCGCCACAAGCUCAUGGAACAAAUCCAGCCAAAUCUUCUUCACUUAAUUUAUCACAUGGUGCCGCCUAAAGCUCUCGGAAAUGAAGGAUCCGCCCAGGAGCCUGUUAAAGUAUAAGUGUUUUUAGCUGAGUGUGUUUAUCGUUUAAUUGUGAACCAUUGGAUCACAGUCCAAUGGACAGCUGAGAUGUAUUCUUAGUUAUAGUAGAAUUGUGCCAAGUGUAGCUAUCUCAUAGGAUAGUUUAAUCAAUGGUUAGAUUGGAUGAUGUAAGAGGGAAUAUUCGAUUCCUAACGGUUAUAUUGUACUGCACAGCUUGUGCAUGACUAUGUGAGAUAAUAGACUCAAUUUUCAUCUUCU
rnacentral:lncRNA from 1 species